AACACUAUGGAUUCCGAUUUUGUUUUAUUGUAGAUCGAAGGCAUCAUUCAUUACUUAGGAUCCUACUUUAUGAUCUUUAAGUAUUUUACAGUCAUAAGCAGUGUACAUUAUUACAACUUACAGCAUUUAAGGAAGAAGAUAUGCCUUUUGUACUAUAUUCAAAAAACUUGUUUAGCAGAUAAACCCCAGUCAAACUCUGUAACUGAGGCUAACUGCUACAAGCUAACAUUGUGAAAACUAUUUACAAUAACAGUUUCAAACAGUAUUAUUGUUGCAAAGACUGUGGACUUUUCAUUCAUUUUUUUCAGUGACUUUUUCAACACAUAUUUUGUAUUUGUAUUUGAUCACAUAUGUUGCUAUAUUUGUGGACUUUCACAUAGUGACUUUAUGCCAAUAUUGACUUUUGGAUCCAUUUUUACUAUCAUUAAUUUUAUAAGUACUAAUUUUAAGACAAUCUACUUACUCAAUGUUUUAAUAGAUACAUAUCCUAUCUCACUCCUGGAUACUUAUUAGAGCAUAUCUAAUAUUCUAUCUUCAUUUGCACUUUUGGGGUUUCUUGGUGGUAACCCCAUUAUUUCCAGUUUGAGUGGUAUCUCUAUCCAUACUAUCUACUCCAUAUCUGUGAGAUUUUUAAUCCCAUGAAUACUUUUA